rnacentral:lncRNA from 1 species
GUAUAGAGUAUGGGACUGUAGGUGGAGGUAUAGAGGUAUGGGACUGUAGGUGGAGGUAUGGGACUGUAGGUGGAGGUAUAGAGGUAUGGGACUGUAGGUGGAGGUAUAGAGGUAUGGGACUGUAGGUGGAGGUAUAGAGGUAUGGGACUGCAGGUGGAGGUAUAGGACUGUAGUUGGAGGUAUAGAGGUAUGGGACUGUAGGUGGAGGUAUAGAGGUAUGGGACUGCAGGUGGAGGUAUGGGACUGUAGGUGGAGGUAUAGAGGUAUGGGACUGUAGGUGGAGGUAUAGAGGUAUGGGACUGUAGGUGGAGGUAUAGUGGUAUGGGACUGUAGGUGGAGGUAUAGUGGUAUGGGACUGUAGGUGGAGGUAUAGAGGUAUGGGACUGUAGGUGGAGGUAUAGAGGUAUGGGACUGUAGGUGGAGGUAUAGAGGUAUGGGACUGUAGGUGGAGGUAUAGAGUUAUGGGACUGUAGGUGGAGGUAUAGAGGUAUAGGACUGUAGGUGGAGGUAUAGAGGUAUGGGACUGUAGGUGGAGGUAUAGAGGUAUGGGACUGUAGGUGGAGGUAUGGGACUGUAGGUGGAGGUAUAGUGGUAUGGGACUGUAGGUGGAGGAAU